rnacentral:rRNA from 1 species
CGGUACGGGUGAGUAACGCGUGAGGAACCUGCCUCAAAGAGGGGGACAACAGUUGGAAACGACUGCUAAUACCGCAUAAGCCCACGGCUCGGCAUCGAGCAGAGGGAAAAGGAGCAAUCCGCUUUGAGAUGGCCUCGCGUCCGAUUAGCUAGUUGGUGAGGUAACGGCCCACCAAGGCGACGAUCGGUAGCCGGACUGGGAGGUUGAACGGCCACAUUGGGACUGAGACACGGCCCAG